rnacentral:misc_RNA from 1 species
ACCUUAUUCCUGGUGGGUGGAGCAAUGCGGGGAUUUGGAUUUUGAUAGUGGUAACUUUGCUCAUGCAAUAUAACUCGACACUUUACCUUGCCAAGUAUUCAGAGAAGGUGGUGGUACCUACUGCUGUUGUGCAAUUUGGGCCUUAUAGGUGGGUCCGGCACCCAAUAUAUUCUUCAACAAUGCUGUUGUUUGCGACUUAUUUUCUUGCACUUCGUGCUCCUUUGAGCUUGUUGUUUGUGGUAGCAGUAUGUUUGAUAUAUUAUGCCCAGAAAGCAAAAAUGGAGGAGGUUCUGAUGAUAGAGACUUUUGGCGAGAGAUAUUUAGAGUACAUGAGCAAAGUUCGAUACAAGUUCAUUCCUUUAGUUUAUUAGGGCAAUCUCCAAGUAU